GUAGGUGGCAAGCGUUGUCCGGAAUUAUUGGGCGUAAAGCGCGCGCAGGCGGUUCUUUAAGUCUGAUGUGAAAGCCCACGGCUCAACCGUGGAGGGUCAUUGGAAACUGGAGAACUUGAGUACAGAAGAGGAAAGCGGAAUUCCACGUGUAGCGGUGAAAUGCGUAGAGAUGUGGAGGAACACCAGUGGCGAAGGCGGCUUUCUGGUCUGUAACUGACGCUGAGGCGCGAAAGCGUGGGGAGCAAACAGGGAUUAGAUACCCUGGUAGUCCACGCCAUAAACGAUGAGUGCUAAGUGUUAGGGGGGUUUUCCGCCCCCCUUAGUGCUGCAGCUAACGCAUUAAGCACUCCGCCUGGGAGUACGGCCGCAAGGCUG
rnacentral:rRNA from 1 species